CAGAAAUCUGUCUUGCUGUCAUUCCUCGUGUCUCUUGUCCCAUACCAUUCCUCCCUCACAGGUAUCAGAGUCUCCGUUGAUCGUCCCGCGGGCGGGGACUUCAGCAUCCCUAUUUCCGAAGGCCAUGAAGAGGAUGGAUUGAGAGGCCCUGGAGUGAAGACAGUCUGGAUGUGCAGAGAAGAGAGAGCCUGGCUGUCCGUGGCAUUCAAACCCAUCUUGCUACAGAAAGCGUAGUUCUCCUUCCUCCUCCAGCAGACCCAAGGCUAUCACCAUUUAAGAAGAUGGAAGAAGACGGAUGCUGUGAUGGGAAAAAUGAAGCAGGAAAAAUAAAAGUUUCAGAGGUCAAUGGGGCUGUGCAGGAAGCAUGGGCUGAAGCUUCCUCAUCGGGGUCUCUGGCUUGGCUCCCAUCCUCUUGCUCAGUUUAGGCUCACAGCACCUACACAUGCUCUCUACUUGUGGCCAACUCACUCUUCUAAGUUAUUUUUUAAAUUAAAGUCUAAUGUAAGUAUGGAGAAUUGCUGAUAUCAGAUGUGCGCAACAUGAUGUAUUCUUACAAAAUGAACACACCCAUGUAACUAGCUCCCAGAUCGAAAUAGAAUCUUACCAGCAUCCUAGAAGCCCCUGUUGUAUCUUUCCCAGUCACUACCUCUACCCUGGUUUCUAAUACAAUACAUUGAUGUUGCCUGCUUUAGAACUUUCUAUCAACAGAAUCCUAGCUUGGAUUCUUUUCAGUCUUCCCUCUGUCAGCAUUAUGCUGAUCAGAUUCAUCUAUCUUUGUGUGUGUCAUUGUAGUUUGUUCAUUCUCUUGGCUGGAUAAAUAAACCACAAGGUAUUUUUCUCUUC